UACCUACGGGACGCAGCAGUGGGGAAUAUUGGGCAAUGGGCGCAAGCCUGACCCAGCAACGCCGCGUGAAGGAAGAAGGCUUUCGGGUUGUAAACUUCUUUUCUCAGGGACGAAGAAAGUGACGGUACCUGAGGAAUAAGCCACGGCUAACUACGUGCCAGCAGCCGCGGUAAUACGUAGGUGGCAAGCGUUAUCCGGAUUUAUUGGGUUUAAAGGGUGCGUAGGCGGGCUGCCAAGUCAGCGGUAAAAUUGCGGGGCUCAACCC
rnacentral:rRNA from 1 species